UACCGGCGGCUCGAGUGGUGGCCACUAUUACUGGGCUUAAAGCGUUCGUAGCUUGGUUGUUAAGUCUCCUGGGAAAUCUAUCGGCUUAACCGAUAGGCGUCCAGGGGAUACUGGCAAUCUAGGGACCGGGAGAGGUGAGGGGUACUUCAGGGGUAGGAGUGAAAUCCUGUAAUCCUUGGGGGACCACCUGUGGCGAAGGCGCCUCACCAGAACGGCUCCGACAGUGAGGGACGAAAGCUGGGGGAGCAAACCGGAUUAGAUACCCGGGUAGUCCCAGCCGUAAACGAUGCACGUUAGGUGUAUCGAUGACCACGAGUCAUCGAGGUGCCGAAGGGAAACCGUGAAACGUGCCGCCUGGGAAGUACGGUCGCAAGGCUGAAACUUAAAGGAAUUGGCGGGGGAGCACCACAACAGGUGGAGCCUGCGGUUUAAUCGGAUUCAACGCCGGA
rnacentral:rRNA from 1 species